GGAUACCUGUGGUNAUUCUAGAGCUAAUACAUGCACAAAUCCCCGACUUCGGAAGGGGUGUAUCUAUUAGAUACAGAACCAAUGCCCUCCGGGGCUGCACGGUGAUUCAUGAUAGCUGCACAGAUCGCAUGGCCUUGCGCCGGCGACGGUUCAUUCAAAUUUCUGCCCUAUCAACUUUCGAUGGUAAGGUAGUGGCUUACCAUGGUUUUUACGGGUAACGAGGAAUCAGGGUUCGAUUUCGGAGAGGGAGCCUGAGAAACGGCUACCACAUCCAAGGAAGGCAGCAGGCGCGCAAAUUACCCAAUCCCAACGCGGGGAGGUAGUGACAAUAAAUACUGAUACAGGGCCCUUCAGGGUCUUGUAAUUAGAAUGAGUACAAUUCAAAUCCUUUAACGAGGAACAAUUGGAGGGCAAGUCUGGUGCCAGCAGCCGCGGUAAUUCCAGCUCCAAUAGCGUAUAUUAAAGCUGUUGCAGUUAAAAAGCUCGUAGUUGAAGCUUGGGUCUAGCCGGCCGGUCCGCCUCACCGCGUGCACUGGUUUCGCUGGACCUUUUCUUCUGGCGAACCGCAUGCCCUUUGCUGGGUGUGUUGGGGACCCAGGACGUUUACUUUGAAAAAAUUAGAGUGUUCAAAGCAGGUCUUUGCUCGAAUACGUUAGCAUGGAAUAAUGGAAUAGGACGUGCGGUCCUAUUUUGUUGGUUUCUAGGACCGUCGUAAUGAUUGAUAGGGACAGUCGGGGGCAUUCGUAUUCCAUUGUCAGAGGUGAAAUUCUUAGAUCAAUGGAAGACGCACUACUGCGAAAGCAUUUGCCAAGGAUGUUUUCAUUAAUCAGGAACGAAAGUUAGGGGAUCGAAGACGAUCAGAUACCGUCGUAGUCCUAACUGUAAACUUUGCCGACUAGGGAUCGGGCGGUGUUAUUUUAUUGACUCGCUCGGCACCUUUCGAGAAAUCAAAGUGUUUGGGUUCUGGGGGGAGUAUGGUCGCAAGGCUGAAACUUAAAGAAAUUGACGGAAGGGCACCACCAGGCG
rnacentral:rRNA from 1 species